UUAAAUGGAGGAAACGAAAACUGAACGGAAAUAAUGACGAAAUAAAUGUGGUUAAACUAACAACAGCAACAACAAUAGAUGAGGAAGUGUGAACUAACAAUACCACGAAGAGUCAAACAAAAAUAGAAAGUAUCAAAAAAACAACUAUUGAUGCUAUAAAAAUACGAGAAACUUGUUUGCAAAGAGCGCCAGAGAGUGCGGCUGUGCUUUACAAGUCAGAUGAGCAGAGAGCGCCAAAUAAAAGCUAAAAAAAAGCUGCAUACGAAGCGCAUAAGCGAAUGUACGGCAUAAACGAUGAUGUUGACUGCGACGAUGUCUGCUGUGUGACUCCGACAACAACGACGACGACGACGAAACAACCACCGACAACCACCAGCGCAUAGUCAACAACACCAACAGCUACACCAAUAACAACAAUAAAGCAACAAUUAAACUACAACAACAAUAUCAUAGUUUUAGCAGCAACAACGACAACAACAAGAACAACUCGAUUUCUUUGCCACUCACCAGCAUUUUAUUAUUAUUGUAUUAUUAUCAUCAGCAUACAGCAAUCGAGUUGAGCACCACAGCGCACAGAACAACCAGCCAGCCAGCCACAGCGCUGAGGCUAGCAAGUUCGUUUGAUAGCUGGUUAGCUGACUGACUGGCUUGCUGGCUGGUUAGUCGCUUGACCGUUUCAACGAGGUGGUUGCAUGGCUCAGUCGCUGAAUGCCCAUCAGGCGCGUCGGUUGUAUGAAAUUUCAACGUUGUGUUAUUAUUCCAUUUCUUUUCCGGCAAGACGACGUGUGAAAUAUUUACAACAGUAAUUAAGCUUAAAAAAAUAGAUUACCACAAAUAUACAUUACUGCGCAGUCAACGCAACAAAGCAAAUGUGUUAGUAGCAGAGUAAAAAGUUGAAUGCCAUCGCCUCAGCAUUUGCAAGUGGAAAUUUUCAAGUGUGCAAUUGCGCAAAAAAAA